rnacentral:tRNA from 1 species
GCACCCGUGGUGGAAUGGCAGACACGGUGGAUUUAGGUUCCACUGCUUCGGCGUGGGGGUUCGAGUCCCUCCGGGUGCACCA